UCUCACCUAUGACUCGCCUGCAGCUACAAACGCUUACUGGACUUUUUCGAGCACUUUGUCUCUGAAAGUAGCAAAUGAAACCUUGCCCUGUUCCACAACAAUAACCUACUACCCAGACCCUGAGUUUACAAGCUUCUCUUCUACACUGACAGGGUACAAUGUCCGCAUCACCAUACAGAAAAAGGCAGACAAACUAGGGAUGAACAUAACAGAGUUGUUUGUGUGGGGCAUUCAUGAAGAAAACCGACACCCCUGCAUCAUGGUGGACCAAGAAACCAAUGAUGAGACUGAGAUUGAAUUUUUCACCUGUGAGAUCCGAAACACUCGCAUUGCUACAUUUCAGGAGUUAGAGAUAGAGUUUGGACACACAAUGGUGAACCUUAAAUUGGUAACAACGUUGUACAUUGUGAUGCUGCUACGCCUUGUGCUGAUACCUGUCGUUCUAAUUGCUUUAAUAGUGAUCAUCUGCUGGAGCAUACAGAAGAAGUUCACCUAGAAGAAUAAGACGGUUGUGGAGGACCUUGAGCUGAGACAAGUUGUCCUUCCAAAUCCAUCAUCAUCUGAUCACUAGCACCUGUGGGCUGGAAAAAAAGGAUCGUACCAAGUUCCUUCUACUCUCUCCUACACUGGAGCAAAGAUCAUCUGCAUGGUGUCAGACACCACUCUACACAAUCUUUGUGCAUUUCCAACUUUUUGUUUCAAUUAUUAACGUUUAACUUUUUUGCUGGUUGAGUCUUAAGCAGUUAUAUAAUAGCCUUUUAAGACUCUAUUCUGCAACAGCACUGUAACUAAGACCUGCCGUCAUUACCACUUUUUUAUAUUUUUAGAAUUUAGGGGGGCCUAUGCCUUCAUUUAGACAGUUGAUAAAGUAGGAAAUUGGGAGAGAGAGGGAGAGUGGGGAAUGAAAAUGGCAAAGCGUUGAGGGUCAGGAUUGAAGCUUGAAAAGGGGUUAAGAAGUUGCAUGCUCAUGAAUCUUAUCCAUUUCAUUUCAGGCAGUCCUUCAUCAUAUGUUUAUCAGGCAAUUUUAUAGCAAAGAAGAGGGAUAGGAUUUAUCAGAAAGAUUUACAAUCAUUCAAUUUUUAUCAUUCAACCAUUUUCUUAUAGAGCUAUGAAGUUUAUAUACAAACUUAAAAUCGGAGGAGACUUUUCAAAAAGAGCAGGUAACUUAACUUACAGACAGGGACAUCUUGCAAGCCAAACAUCUUUAAGUUAGAGUGGGGUCAAGGGUUCCUUUCUUGAAAAAAGAUGGGAAGAAUGAUGCCAUUUUCUACAUUUUGAAACUUUUAUAAUCAAAGACAAAAUGUGUAUUGUUUCCCGAUGAGUCUGUGGAAACCUCAUUAAUAUCAUUGAAAAUUCCUCACAUGCUAAUUGCUAAUUUCUUUGUAAUGUUCUUUUUCUUCAAAAGAUCUCUUUAAUACUUUAAUAUUAUGUAUCAUUACGGAAUAUUAUUGUAUUGAAUAAAGAAUUGGUUUUUUUUAAUGCCAA